UAUCAGAAAAUAAGCUUGAUUGAAGAGUACUGUCAAGUGCUUAAGUAGCUAAAUAUGUUUAAUAAAAUGUAACAUGGGAGAUCAUGUGAGUUGUUAGAUACGUUAUAAGAUUUAAUAUUCAUGAUCAUAUAUAAUUAUAAAGUAUUAGUUCCUUGUAAAUUUGUAAUGUUCCUUAUUUCUAUAGCUUUUCUUGGUCGUUGGAGCCUUAUUUUAAGUAGGUUUCAUGCAUCAUCACGUAAGUAAAAAUUUGGUACUUAAAUACCUAGAGACCAUAUUAUACUCUAUUUGUUUUCGGCUCACAGUUUUCUCUAAUUUGUUACAGAAAUUAACCUUUAAAGUGCUAAUA
rnacentral:lncRNA from 1 species